UACGGAGGGUGCAAGCGUUGCUCGGAAUUAUUGGGCGUAAAGGGUAGGUAGGUGGUCUUAUUUGUCUGAGGUGAAAGCCUUGAGCUUAACUCAAGAAGUGCCUCAGAAACGGUAAGACUGGAGUCCUGGAGAGGGUCGUGGAAUUCCCGGUGUAGCGGUGAAAUGCGUAGAGAUCGGGAGGAACACCAGAGGCGAAGGCGGCGACCUGGACAGGUACUGACACUCAACUACGAAAGCGUGGGGAGCAAACAGG
rnacentral:rRNA from 1 species